CGAAAAGAUAUUCCCGCCGUUUGAGAGAGAAAGACAAAAAGGAAAAGGGACAUAAAAAACGUUCAUCCGUUUUUCUUUUGGCAUAUCUUUCUU
rnacentral:ribozyme from 1 species